rnacentral:tRNA from 1 species
GUUCCUAUAGUAUAGUGGUGAGUAUCCCCGCCUGUCACGCGGGAAACUGAGUUUCAAUUCCCCGUCGGAAAG